rnacentral:rRNA from 1 species
GGACUACUGGGGUAUCUAAUCCUGUUUGCUCCCCUUGCUCUCGCGCCUCAGCGUCAGGUUAUAGCUAGAAAACCGCUUUCGCCACAGGUGUUCUUCCACAUAUCUACGCAUUUCACCGCUACACGUGGAAUUCCAUUUUCUCCGCCACCCCUCCAGAUUUAUAGUUUCAAAUGCAGCUCCGAAAUUGAGCCCCGGAAUUUCACAUCUGACUUAUAUAUCCGCCUACGCGCCCUUUACGCCCAAUAAUUCCGAUUAAUGCUUGCACCCUCCGUAUUACCGCGGCUGCUGGCAC